rnacentral:rRNA from 1 species
UUCGCAAUGCCCGAAAGGGUGACGAAGCGACGCCGCGUGUGGGAAGAAGGCCUUCGGGUUGUAAACCACUGUCGGGAGUUAAGAAAUGUAAGGGUGUUAAUAGCAUCCUUACUUGACGUUAGCUCCGGAGGAAGCCACGGCUAACUCUGUGCCAGCAGCCGCGGUAAUACAGAGGUGGCAAGCGUUGUUCGGAAUUAUUGGGCGUAAAGAGCACGUAGGCGGCCCUGCAAGUCAGCUGUGAAAGCCUUCUGCUUAACGGAAGAACAGCAGCUGAUACUACAGAGCUUGAGUACGGGAGGGGAGAGUGGAACUUCUGGUGGAGCGGUGAAAUGCGUAGAUAUCAGAAGGAACGCCGGCGGCGAAAGCGAUUCUCUGGUCCGAAACUGACGCUGAGUGUGCGAAAGCUAGGGGAUCAAACGGGAUUAGAUACCCCGGUAGUCCUAGCCGUAAACGAUGGGCACUAAGUAGAGGGGUUUU